CAGCGUGGAUUAGGCAUGCAAGUCGAACGGGAUCGCCGAGGUAGCAAUAUCGAGGCGUGAGAGUGGCGGAUUGGGGAGGAACACGUGGGCAACCUGCCCUGGGGACGGGGAAAACCGCGGGAAACUGCGGCUAAUACCGGAUGUGGCGUCUGGCGGCAUCGCUGGAGCGUCAAAGGGGGCCGAAAGGCUCCCGCCCCUGGAUGGGCCCGCGCACCAUCGGCUAGUUGGCGGGGUAACGGCCCACCAAGGCUUACGGUUAGCUGGUCUGAGAGGAUGGCCAGCCCCACUGGGACUGAGAUACUGCCCAGACUCCUACGGGAGGCUGCAGUCGAGGAUCAUUCGCAAUGGGCGAAAGCCUGACGAUGCGACGCUGCGUGGAGGAUGGAGGUCUUCGGAUCGUAAACUCCUGUCAUGAGGGAAAAG
rnacentral:rRNA from 1 species